UACGUAGGUGGCGAGCGUUGUCCGGAAUUACUGGGUGUAAAGGGCGUGUAGGCGGGUUAGUAAGUCAGAUGUGAAAUUCCAAGGCUUAACCUUGGAGCUGCAUCUGAAACUAUUGAUCUUGAGUGCUGGAGAGGAAAGCGGAAUUCCUAGUGUAGCGGUGAAAUGCGUAGAUAUUAGGAGGAACACCAGUGGCGAAGGCGGCUUUCUGGACAGUAACUGACGCUGAGGCGCGAAAGCGUGGGGAGCAAACAGG
rnacentral:rRNA from 1 species